UAGGGAAUAUUGGACAAUGGGGGGAACCCUGAUCCAGCCAUGCCGCGUGGAGGAAGACUGCCCUCUGGGUUGUAAACUCCUUUUAUAUGGGAAGAACCGUCCUCAUCGAUGAGUGACCUGACGGUACCAUAGGAAUAAGCACCGGCUAACUCCGUGCCAGCAGCCGCGGUAAUACGGAGGGUGCAAGCGUUAUCCGGAUUCACUGGGUUUAAAGGGUGCGUAGGCGGAUAUGUAAGUCAGUGGUGAAAUCAACGGGCUCAACCUGUUAACUGCCAUUGAUACUGUGUAUCUUGAAUAUGAGAGAGGUAGGCGGAAUGUUGCAUGUAGCGGUGAAAUGCUUAGGUAUGCUACGGAACACCGAUUGCGAAGGCAGCUUACUAUUUCGUAAUUGACGCUGAGGCACGAAAGCGUGGGUAGCGAACA
rnacentral:rRNA from 1 species